rnacentral:rRNA from 1 species
GACGAACGCUGGCGGCGUGCUUAACACAUGCAAGUCGAACGGAAAGGCCCUGCUUUUGUGGGGUGCUCGAUUGGCGAACGGGGGAGUAACACGUGAGUAACCUGCCCUUGACUUUGGGAUAACUUCAGGAGACUGCGGCGCAUACCGGAUAUGAGCUCCUGCUGCAUGGUGGGGGAUGGAAAGAUUCGGCGGUUGUGGCUGGAUUCGCGGCUUAUCAGCUUGUUGGUGGGGUAGUGGCUUACGAAGGCUUUGACGGGUAGCCGGCCUGGGAGGGUGAACGGCCACAAUGCGACUGAGGGACGGACCAGAAUCGUAUCGGCGGCAGUAGUGGGGAACAUGGCAGAGUGGGCGGAAGCCAGAUGCAGAAAUGUCGCGUGCGGGAUAACGGCCUUCGGGUUGUAAACCGAUGUGGAAGGUGAUGAAGAGGUAGUGACGGUAACGGGUCAGGAAGCAACGGCUAACUACGUG